AUGCAGCGAGGGAUUGUAGAUGAGGAGGCCCUGCUGCAUGCCCUCGCAGUCAGACCAGUGUGGUGGGGCCACCCUGGAUGUGUUCACAGAAGACCCCACUCCAGACCUAGCCCUGGUGAACCACAAGAAGGUCAUCAGCAGUCCCGACUUGGGCGCCAGCACCAAGGAAGCCCAGAGCUAGUGUGGGGAAGAAAUUGCCAUUCGGUGAAUGCCCGGGCCCUCACCGCCUCCCUCUCCCCCAGCACCAAGCCCCCGAUUGGUCUGGCAGAAGCUCUGGGCACAUUGAUUGGAGCCAGGGUUGGGUCACCCGGAGGAACCAUCCCUGUAGUGACACAGGGUGGGCCCAGACUCUGCUUAAUCUAUAGCAGAAGCAGCUGGGUGGAACCAUUCCCUUGA
rnacentral:lncRNA from 1 species